UGAGUAAUGUCUGGGAAACUGCCUGAUGGAGGGGGAUAACUACUGGAAACGGUAGCUAAUACCGCAUAACGUCUUCGGACCAAAGUGGGGGACCUUCGGGCCUCAUGCCAUCAGAUGUGCCCAGAUGGGAUUAGCUAGUAGGUGGGGUAAUGGCUCACCUAGGCGACGAUCCCUAGCUGGUCUGAGAGGAUGACCAGCCACACUGGAACUGAGACACGGUCCAGACUCCUACGGGAGGCAGCAGUGGGGAAUAUUGCACAAUGGGCGCAAGCCUGAUGCAGCCAUGCCGCGUGUAUGAAAAAGGCCUUCGGGUUGAAAAUACUUUCACCAAGGAGGAAGGCAUUAGGUUAAUAACCUUAUGGAUUGACUUUCCCCGAAAAAAAAGCACCGGAAAAUCCGUGCCAACACCCGCGUUAAUACGGAGGGGGCAGGGUUAUUCGGAAUUACGGGGCGUAAGCGCCCCCGGGCGUUUGUCAGUCGGAUGUAAAACCCCGGG
rnacentral:rRNA from 1 species